UACGAAGGGGGCUAGCGUUGUUCGGAAUUACUGGGCGUAAAGCGCGCGCAGGCGGUCUUCCAAGUCAGUGGUGAAAGCCCGGAGCUCAACUCCGGAAUUGCCAUUGAAACUGUUGGACUUGAGGAUGAGAGAGGUGAGUGGAAUUCCCAGUGUAGAGGUGAAAUUCGCAGAUAUCAGGAGGAACACCAAUAGCGAAGGCAGCUCGCUGGGACGUUACUGACACUAAGGCGCGAAAGCGUGGGGAGCGAACAGG
rnacentral:rRNA from 1 species